rnacentral:rRNA from 1 species
UACCAGCCCCGCGAGUGGUUGGGACGGUUAUUGGGCCUAAAGCGCCCGUAGCCGGCCCGGUAAGUCCUCCCUUAAAACCCGGGGCUCAACCCCGGGCCGGGGGGGAUACUGCCGGGCUAGAGGGCGGGAGAGGCCGGCGGUACUCCCGGGGUAGGGGCGAAAUCCGCUGAUCCCGGGAGGACCACCAGUGGCGAAGGCGGCCGGCUGGAACGUGCCUGACGGUGAGGGGCGAAAGCCGGGGGAGCGAACCGG